rnacentral:rRNA from 1 species
GCUUGUCUCAAAGAUUAAGCCAUGCAUGUCUAAGUACAAGCCUCAGUAAGGUGAAACCGCGAAUGGCUCAUUAAAUCACACCUAAUCUACUGGAAAGUUACUAGUUACUUGGAUAACUGAGGUAAUUCUUGAGCUAAUACAUGCGAAAAAUCUCGACUCACGGAGAGAUGCUUUUAUUAGAUCAAAACCAGUCGGGGAAACGAUCGCGCCGGGUCAAACCGGUCGGUCGCGGAACCGUACCAAUUUUGGUGACUCUGGAUAACUUCACGCCGAUCGCACGGCCUUCGCGCCGG